ACUUAUCAUUAGCCUCUCUAAGAGACAUUCACAAGACAGAGCCGAAUUAGAAGAGUUAUCGCCUAGAAAUUUUAAACCCUAUAUAUAUACCCGGAGAUUUACCAGAUGCAUUACAUUUCUUACCUACACGCAAUAAUUUUACGUCGUAGCAAACUUUCUCUCUAUCUUUAAAUACUGAUAAACAAAAAAUAAUCGAGAAAUAAUUCCUGUUUGAGGAGGAGGAGUAUGUGGCAAUAAUAAGAGAGGGUAGAGAAGGUGUGUGGAGACAACAAUCAUGGCGCUGAUGGUGGCUACAACACUGGUGCUCAGAGCCGGUCAGAAACACUCAUUACUAACUUUUUACCUAUUACACGAGUCUUGGUCUUAAGUGAUAUUCUCACUGAGUGAACCUGUGCUCCAAAUGGUUUAACAUCCGGCGAAGUUUACAUCUCGUUUGUUGUACAUCUUGUGGUGAUGAUGGUGAUGUAACCCAGACAGCCUGGCCGGGGCAGUGACGGCUAUCAGUCUAAUACUCGGCCUGUGGGUGAUGUAGUCAAGACAAGACGGUAUUUGGGCAGUGCAGCUAAACGCAUCACUACUCAUUAUACAGUGAUACCAAGAGAAACAGAUUCAAGAUGGAGAGGUGAGCAGUAUUGCACUUACUUUGCUUCAAACUGAACAUAUUUGAUUUUAAAAUCAGUAUGCAAGCCAUUCAUAGUGAAGAGAAUGCAAUAGCUUGGGUGUUUGUAUUUUUUCCAAAGCAGAAUCUGUAAGUUCAUGGCAGUGACUUUGACCCCUAUGUUUGGGUCCACAUUACACAUAAUUCUUUCUUCACACCAGGUCUCGUAUGGCCCAAGCUGUUGUAGCUUUUUACACUCAAUAACAACUAGGUGAUGCUGUUAACAGCUGUGAGUUUCCAUACAAAGUAACAACCAAACAUUUAUCAAAAUAGUGAAAAACAUAGUAAAGGAAAUAAUACUCAAAGUGCCAUAUUUCUUCUAGAUAUAUCAAAAAAGCUUAUAGAAUAGAUAUUGAACAUGCCAUAAAACCACUUAUGAGUAUAUUUUUCACCCCCCAACAUGCACGCACAAAAAGACUCCUGAAAUCAUAAUGACACAACUGCAAACAAACCAUACCACAGGCAGGGAUAGAACCCGUGAUCAGAGAGUCUCA